rnacentral:rRNA from 1 species
GCCAGACUCCUACGGGAGGCAGCAGUGGGGGAUAUUGCACAAUGGGGGGAACCCUGAUGCAGCGACGCCGCGUGGGUGAAGGAGCGUUUCGGCGCGUAAAGCCCUAUCGGCAGGGAAGAAGGAGGACGGUACCUGACUAAGAAGCCCCGGCUAACUACGUGCCAACAGCCGCGGUAAUACGUAGGGGGCAAGCGUUAUCCGGAUUUACUGGGUGUAAAGGGGGCGCAGACGGCAGCGCAAGCCAGGAGUGAAAGCCCGGGGCCCAACCCCGGGACUGCUCUUGGAACUGCGCGGCUGGAGUGCAGGAGGGGCAGGCGGAAUUCCUGGUGUAGCGGUGAAAUGCGUAGAUAUCAGGAGGAACACCGGUGGCGAAGGCAGCCUGCUGGACUGCGACUGACGUUGAGGCCCGAAAGCGUGGGGAGCAAACAGGAUUAGAUACCCCUGUAC